GUAGGUGAACCUGCGGAAGGAUCAUUACCGAGUUCAUGCCCUCACGGGUAGAUCUCCCACCCUGUGUAUACCUUACCUCUUUGCUUUGGCGGGCCGCCUGGCUACCGGCUUCGGUUGGUAAGUGCCCGCCAAAGGACCCCAAACCCUAACCCAUUAUCGUGUCGUCCGAGUAAAAACUUAAUAUUUAAAACUUUCAACAACGGAUCUCUUGGCUCUGGCAUCGAUGAAGAACGCAGCAUCUGACUGACUU
rnacentral:misc_RNA from 1 species